ACACAAGAACCACUCAGUACAUCGUAGAAGUUCUCACUGGAACAUUGACAAAAACUACGACGAAAUGCAAAAUGAUACAAUUCCGCCAAGAGGAUCAGAGUUCACAAACUUUCGUUUCACUAUGAUGACAAAAAAGUCUGAAGAAAACCUACACUGUAAUACAGCGUCCGGAUACAAACUUUUCCUACACCAUCCAGCGGAGCUUCCAACACUAGCAACUAGAUACAUUCCUAUAUCAUUCGACACGAUCUAUAACAUUUGGGUCACACCUGAAAUCGUCAUAACUUCCGAAAAUUUGGAAAGUUACGAACAAAAUAAAAGGACAUGCGUUUAUUCUUACGAACGACGCUUGAAGUUCUUUAAAAUAUAUACCAAACACAACUGCAGGCUAGAGUGCAUUGCUAACAGAACUUUAGAGCAAUGUAACUGUGUUCCUUAUUAUCUACCACAUGAAGAAUCUACGGAAAUAUGUGGACUCGGAAAACUAAGAUGCGUAAGGAAAGCUAAGGAAGAUACCUUCAAGAUGGUUAGCUCCAAAAAGAACAGAAAAGUGUUCGGAAAAUGUAACUGUCUUCCUUUAUGUACCUCCAUAACGUAUAAUGCAGAAACCCAUCAAGCUAAAGAACCUGAUAACCCAUUUCGAGAUAA